CAGCCGCCGGCGCCGCCGCUCUGCCCCGCUAGAGGGCGAGGCGGCCGUACGCGGCGCAGCGGGGGCCGCUGACGGGAGCUGCCUGUCCGCCACCCCGAGAGCCGCCGCGUUCGGCCCGAAGUUCAGCCGGCAACCUCGGCGCUGUCGGAAGGACCGAUCGGCGAACGCCGCGAGCGUCAGCACCGACGGUGCGGGAUACAGUGCUGCGAGCGGACUGCGGGCACCGCGCAGGGCAGAACCGCCUCCUGUUCGGGUACCGCCGCCAAACCGGGGCGGCUCUGCCCUCCCGCGGGGCUCCCGUGCCGCCCCGUGCGGCUCCGGCGGUGUGGCGUCACAGAGUGGGGCGUGACGUCACUGGCAUCCAGCGAGGGAAGGGACGUGACGUCAGCAUGGCAGCGCGCGUUCGUCGUCUGCCCCUCGGAGUGCAGCUGUCUGUCUUUUUGCUGUGGGGAUUUGGCUCCUGUCAGAUGCCGCAAAGAAGAGUUUGUUGGUUUUAAACCAAUUUUGUUGUGUUUGGACCUCUGCAUGUGGAAGUAUUGUUGUUGGCUAUUGCUUGCAGUGAAAGCUGUCCUUUUUCUUUAUUUCAGGUGCAGGUGUCAGGCCAGAUUCAUCCCUGGUUAUCCUCUGGGACUAUAAAUAAAACAGUGAAAAUAAGAAUCGAAGUAAUGCCAGAAUGAAGGGUAGAGCUGGCAAACGCUCAGAUUUGGGUUCUGCUUUCUCCAGAAUGGGCCCUCUGUUUUUAUGGCACUCUAACACGUAGUUACCAGCUUCAGUCUCAUUGCAGAGUGAAGCCUUAAAUCCCAUCCCCCCCACACACAGCACUGCAACUGAUGACACAUAUUGAAGAUGUGUGCGUGUUUUUGAUUGUUUUUCCAUAUAAUACAGCCCCCUUCAAACUUCGGCCUUCAGCUGUACCGCUUCCUGCGAUUCCUCCAACCGCCCUGUUGUCACGGUGCCGUGCCAUUGGGUUUUAGUAACGUGUUUGUAGUGUGAGGAAGGGACGUGAGCUGGGAGAUGUGCAGGGUGCAGGCAGCCGCCUCAGACGGGAACACAAGAGGGCAGGGUAGCAUUAAUUGUUGUGCUUCCUGACGUCAGACUUUUCUUUGCACUGUGAGCAUUUUCUCCGUUUGUUAUCUGCCUGGAACUUCUUAGGCUUCCCUAGUGAAGUUUCCAUAGUACCCACAAACCUUUAUAGCCUAUGGUGUUGUUUUUUGUUUUUUUGUUUUUUUUCCAAUAAUAAUCCUCCCUUUUAUUUUUUUUUUCCUCUGGGUACAUAAUUUAAGCAAAUUAUAUGUUCUCUAAAGCUGCAGUUAUAGCAUCUCUAAAUUAGAACUAGUCUUGAAAGCGUUACCCGUGUAAUUACAACACUUUCAAGAAAAAAAACACAUGAAGUCUCAUAAGAAGUUUAACUUACAGUAAAUUUAAUUUUCAAGCAUAUCUGCAUUUAUCACUAAAAAAUCCAGAAAUCUGCAGUUAGUGCUCAUUCUAAUGAUGACUUCUCUCUAGGUUCAUAAUGUACAGAAACACAUUUUAAAAAUGGAGCUCUAAUCACAGAAUCAUUAAGAUUGUAAAAGACCCACUGGGAUCAUCUAGUCCAGCCCAUCACCUCAUGUCUUUUGGAUCAACUAAUGUCAGGCUUAAUACGACGUGGUAAAAUAUGUUCAGACAUAUAACCUUAACUCUGACCUCCAUCUUUUUCACAAGGAAAUGGGAACUCUCUGCCUAUAUCCAUUGCUAUCUAAUGUUACUUUACAGAAGAUGAGAUAGAAAAUCACCAAGUUCAAUGGAAGAACAGGUACAAGUGGUCACAGUAAUAGCAGGAGGAGGGCUAAAAUCACCAAUCUUCAAAGACAGUUUUUUUUUAAAAAGAGCUCUGGGGAACAGCUAAGGCAAAAGCAGAAAACCCAGGUGCGGUCAAUCAAGAAUCAUUAGUUGCUUUUCAUUGAGUAUUGAUAUUCGAGUGUGUAUGCAAACAUCCCAGAAACAGUACAGAAAAGAACUAGAGCAUUAAAAAAACUUUAGGCGUGAAAUAGGUGUGAUGUGAUCUGACUAAGGAAAACCUUCAGGAGAGUUCUUGGGCAGCCUGAUCUGUUGGGUGGCAGCCCUUCCCAUGGCAGAGGGUUGCAGCUGGGUAAUCUUUAAGGUCUCUUCCUACCCAAGCCAUUCUAUGAGUGUUCAUUAAGAGCUAAGCUGUGUCUGGGAAGUGGAUUGGAAGCAUCUGCAAAAAAAAAAUUACUUGGAUGAUCUGCUUUUAAACUGGCUUGCCUCAAAAAAUACCUGAUGACAGUUCUCCGCCACACACACAUCCAGCUCAGGAAAACAGAAUGUAGGAUCAUAGAAUCAUAGAAUGGUUUGUUGGAUGGGACCUCUAAGAUCAUCUAGUUUCAACCUCCCUGCUAUAAGCAGGGACACUUCCCUCUAGACCAAGUUGCUCAAAGCCCCAUCCAGCCUGGCCUUGAACGCUUCCAGGGAGGGGGCAUCACAGCUUCACUGGGCAACCUGUUCCAGUGUCUCACCACCCUCAUACUGAAGGAUUUCUUCCUGACAUCUAGUCUAAAUCUACCCUCUGCCAGUUUAAAGCCAUUUCCCUUCAUCCUCUCACUACCUGCUCUUAUAAAAUGUCCCUCCCCAGAUUGCUGACUAUUCCUGCUGAAAGGGGUCACACAAUGUGACAGUUCAGGAGUAAGAUGUGGAAUAAGGAUAAAAAUGAAUAGGGAAGCUGGCAUAACUAGCUGUUUUCUAAAUUUUGGUUACAUUGAAGAAAUGCACUUAACCUAUGUUGAAUGGUUUUGUUUUGUUUUUAAAUAUGGAAUUCUUGUAUUUUCCACUGAGGGUAAAUUAAAGUUGUUGAUAAAUGAUGAAUAAUUGCACUGUUUAUUGCACAAACCUGACUGACUCAGCUACCUAGAGAGUGCCUGCUAAUCACUCUCUUGCAGAUCCAUUCCCAGUAUUCUGAAUCUGAUCUGCUUCUGACAAAUGAUUUGUGAAAUUUUGAAAAUGAUGGAGAAACGUAUUACUGGUUAGUGGGGUCAGAGAUCCAUACACUAUUGCUGUGUGCAAACAGAAACAAGGGCUUGACUGUUUAUUGUCCAGGAAAGGCUCUUAGAGUAGGCAUAUGUCUAUCCUUAACAAUUAUACAUAGUGCAUUGGUCUGCUUAGCUGUUGGCUUUCCUUUAAGGCAUUAAUGAUAUUCACAGUGCUAUUCAUUCCAUGUUACUGGCACAAGAACAAGUAAACAUAUCUCAGAUUCCAUAAGAUAUCAUGGCCAUUGUGCAUAAUCCAUAGCGUGAGGUCACCCUUCCUAUAAUGAUAUGAAGCAAGAAUAAUCUCUUGCUCAUGUUGCAGUACAAAUAGAAAGGUGAAAACUCAUAUUCAAGUACUGGAGGAAAGCCCAAAUGUCCUGCCUUUUUUUACCCAUGACAAUGCUGAUUAAGUGUUCAAGAAUGUGGGAUCAGUAGCAGAUAAUAUCUCUCUCACAGCUCAAAGCUUUUUUUUGCACUAGUCGGGCAGGAAUAGUUUUCAGUAGCUCACUUCAUCUUGUUCUAAAGCUCAGACAGACAAAAGUUCAUAAGUCUUUCAUUGACACUACUAUUUAAAUAAUUAAGUAAUAUUCUUCAAAGGGUAGGGGCACAUUAUCUUUAGUAAGUACAUCACUGCCAGCUCCUUUGUGAAAAUAAGAUGUGCUUUGUUAGAAAGAAGGCAAUGAUUCAGACAAUUCUUAUUUUACCAAGGCUACUUCUCAGUUGCAGUCGAAUUCCAGAGCCAAUUCUUGAUCAAUCCAAAAGGGCUACUCAAGCAAAAUCAUACCAUCCCUGGAAGAGUGUGCCAAACUUCAAAGGUUUUACCAUGUGUCUAUCUUUCUUCUUAAAUACAGAAUGAUGUAUUCUUCUUUAUUACUGUUCACUUGUCUUGAGGUAGCUUUAUCUUCACAUCUGGAUUUUCGUUGCUAUUCUUCACCUUUUCACUGCGGAUUUCUUUUAUCCAAAGCUUCAUAAAGAAAGUGCACGUAUCUGUGUGACAGGAUUUAUUGGCUGCAUUGUACUAAAUCAUAUUGUAUUUCACAAUGUUUAGUGUUUCUAUAUCCAUCAAUGCUGUAAAAGUUUCAUUUGAUAUUAAAGAGUUAUUUCAGUCAUCAGUGUAGUGUUCUGAAUAAAUCUAGUGUUCAUUCAAAAACUCA
ensembl:lncRNA